rnacentral:lncRNA from 1 species
GAAAAGCUGUAGACACUCAACACCAGGCCAUGAAAGCAGCCGGGAAGGAGGUUGUACCCUGCAAUGCCACAAGGGUGGAGCUACCCAAGACCAUGGGAACCCACCUUUUGCAUCAGGUUGACCUGGAAUUGUGACCGGAAUUCAAAGGAGAUCAUUUUGGAACUUUAAAAUUUGAUUGCCCCACUGGAUUUCGGACUUGCAUGGGGCCUGUAACCCUUUUGUUUUGGCCAAUUUCUCCCAUUUGGAAUGGCUAUAUUUACCCAAUACCUCUACCUCCACUGUAUCUAUAAAGUAACCAGCUUGCUUUUGCUUUUACAGGCUCGUAAGUGGAAGAAAUUUGCCUUGUCGCAAAUGAGAUUUUGGACUGUGGACUUUUGGGUUAAUGCUGAAGGCCAGUUUAGAAAACACAUUAAACAUCUUCAACCCAAAGCCGAACCGCCCGGCACAGACUGUGUGUGGAGGAUGCACUGGAGUGUGGUGGACAUCUAGGUGGGUUGCCAGCAGAGGAGGUGGUUGGAAUCAUCUCGAUGAGAUAUUGCAAGGGAAAUGAAAAACAGGAGACUUUGUUGCUUCCUCUCUCUAAAGCUCUGUAUUGUUAUUAAAAGAUAAACAACCAAUAAUCCUGGGAAAAAUCCCCACUGUAGAGGAGAGGGGCAGAGAGCCUCUUGCUCUUUAUAACUGAAGGUUCUUUUUAGUGAUCUGGAUUCCAAGAAGAGCGGCCCAUAAAACAGGAUCCAUCUAGACCCUCUUAUUUUGAUCCCCUCCAGAAUGGUAAGGACGGUUUCCUUGUUUUGGUGAUGUCACCUUUGCUCUGCUCAAUGGAUUUGGUUACAGAUGAGAAGAUUUCAGAAUCUUCGGUGUUAAACCUGCCAUAAAUACAUAACCAUCUUCCUCAGGGAACACCUGCUGCCUGGCAUCUCUCUGUUAGCCGAUUUAAAAAAAAAUAAUAACUUUUUAAAUGCAUCUGCACUUUUCUUUAAAAAGUAUCA